GGUUCUUUUUUUCGGAGCUGGGGACCGAACCCAGGGCCUUGCGCUUCCUAGGUAAGCGCUCUACCACUGAGCUAAAUCCCCAGCCCCUCAUUUCAACUCUUUAUUGUUAAAACUUUCAUUCUAUAAAAAAAAACAAUUAAGAGAUACCAGUGACUGCUAGGCGUGCUGGUGCAUGCUGGCCAUCUCAGCCCUUGGGAGUCUAAAUGAAGUCGGUCUAGUUCAUUCUCAGCAUCAUAGUGAGUUCACAAGUCACCUGUGCUGCAUGAAACCUGUGUCAGAAAACCAAGAGGAAAAAAGACCAAUUAUUAGCCAGAAAUACAACCUCAAUUUGGUCAUUUGCAUGCUACUUUCAGAAUGUUCUCAUAUUUCAGAGUUUCUAUAUUUAGAUCAAGGGCUUUGCAUGCACCUGUCAUAUUUGACCCUUUAACACACCGUUAUGUAGAAGUUCUGAGUGGUCAUCCUUUGUUUACUAGCAUAGCAAACCAUUUUUAGUUUUCUGCUUUGGUAGCCGUUAUAGCCAGCCUUUUGCCAUGUCCUAAAAUGUCUAGCUGCCUUUUGUUGUUUUGGUUUUGUUUCAUUUUUUGCUGGGGAAUCAAAACCAUGGCCCUCUGCAUACUAGGCAAGUCCUCUACCACUGAGCUCCAUCCCUGGCCCAGGCUGAAGCUGUUCAUACAUGUGAGUAAACCAUUCAUUAGGGGCCAGCACGUGGUAUGGGGAUCAGGGAGAGGCUGGCUGCUUAGUGUCUGAACUGGUAUUGAGUCUGCUAUCAGCUGGGGGGACAACGUUAAAAGGAAGCUUUGCCAAAAUUUCAAACACUUGAACAUUUGUGAAGAAAAUGGAGUUAAAUUUCAGGUCCUGCCCUUGCCAUUAAAAACAUGAGACAGGAGACACAGACAGAGGUACUGACUGUGAGUACCUGCACCUGACCGCUGUCACCGUGCCAACCAAAGCGCUGCAGUGUACCGCUGUUGACAUGAGCAUGUUUACAGUGUGCCAGCAUUGACAUGAGCAUGUUUACAGAGUUGGGUUUUUCUUCAUGUAAGAGUGAUUUUUAAAAAAAACUUUUUACAUAGUAAUGAUUCAAUGUGUUAAAAGCAUAACAGGUUAGCUUAAAAUAUGAACUUUACUUGAAUUUUAAUUCUUACAGAAAGCAAAUUUUGACUGUUUACAGGAAUGCUUGAAAUGAGUCAUGAGACCUCCAGUUAUCUCUGAAGCAAAGCUAUGUUACAUACAGGCUUAGUGUUAGAGCCUGCAUAUCUGGGGCAUUCAAAAGCAGUAACUCAAACAAUGCUUCGCUUACAUCUUGUUCUACAGAGUAGUACUUACAGUCUGCAUACGUAUUUUUAACUGAUAUUAAGAAAUCAUAUUUUUGCAUUUCAGUCAAUCUAAUAAGAACAUAGGUAAAAGUACAAAUAAGAUGUAAAUCUGAAAUUCAUGUUUCAUAUGAUCUAAGCUGUAUUUUUAAAUUCAAAUUUAAAAUACAAUAGAGAUUCAGAAAGGUCCAUAUUUUUCUAAUGACUUCAUGCUAUAUUAUUUUCUUGAGUUAGGUAAAGCAAGGAAUUGUAUGUGUAUUCAGGAGCUGAGAAAGCUGUUAGUUUAUUAUAUUUGUACGUGAUUACAGAUAAGCCUAUGCCCAUUUAAAAGAAAAGAUGGAUACUAUUUAAGGUGAUAUUUAAUAUGCUUUUCUAUAAACAAGUUUGAAAUAUAGUUUACCUUAGUUGUCUUAUCAAUAGCAUAGCCUUCUAUUUAUUUCUCAUUGUGUGAACCUGGACCAUGACCAAUGACUCUGUGCUCUGUACUUUGGAUGGCAUAACCUGCAUUACUAUGUGUACAUUUUACAAUUUUUUUUCAGAAACCAUAAUUACUUUAUUAAUAAACAGAUAGAGAUGUU
rnacentral:lncRNA from 1 species